UACGUAGGUGGCAAGCGUUGUCCGGAAUUAUUGGGCGUAAAGCGCGCGCAGGCGGUCCCUUAAGUCUGAUGUGAAAGCCCACGGCUCAACCGUGGGGGGUCAUUGGAAACUGGGGGACUUGAGUACAGAAGAGGAAAGCGGAAUUCCACGUGUAGCGGUGAAAUGCGUAGAGAUGUGGAGGAACACCAGUGGCGAAGGCGCUUCUGGUCUGUAACUGACGCUGAGGCGCGAAAGCGUGGGGAGCAAACAGG
rnacentral:rRNA from 1 species